GCAUAGCUCAGCUGGUAGAACAUGAGACUCUUAAUCUCAAGAGCUGUGGGUCUGAGCCCCAUGUUGGGCA